rnacentral:tRNA from 1 species
GGGGAUAUGGCGCAGUUGGGAGCGCGCUUGAAUGGCAUUCAAGAGGCCGGGGGUUCGAAUCCCCCUAUCUCCACCA